GUCGAACUAAAGAAAUCAUAAUGGCAACUAAACUCGUGUUAUUACUAUUUCUUUUCCAAUUGUGGCACUAUGCAAUGCCAAAUCCGACGACGGUCAAUGACCUUUCCCAACUAGAUGUAUCAAAUCAGACGAAUCUAAACGUGGAAUCGGUUGCCA